rnacentral:rRNA from 1 species
AACGAACGCUGGCGGCAUGCCUAACACAUGCAAGUCGAGCGGAGAUGAGGUGCUUGCACCUUAUCUUAGCGGCGGACGGGUGAGUAAUGCUUAGGAAUCUGCCUAUUAGUGGGGGACAACAUUCCGAAAGGAAUGCUAAUACCGCAUACGCCCUACGGGGGAAAGCAGGGGAUCUUCGGAACUUGCGCUAAUAGAUGAGCCUAAGUCGGAUUAGCUAGUUGGUGGGGUAAAGGCCUACCAAGGCGACGAUCUGUAGCGGGUCUGAGAGGAUGAUCCGCCACACUGGGACUGAGACACGGCCCAGACUCCUACGGGAGGCAGCAGUGGGGAAUAUUGGACAAUGGGCGGAAGCCUGAUCCAGCCAUGCCGCGUGUGUGAAGAAGGCCUUUUGGUUGUAAAGCACUUUAAGCGAGGAGGAGGCUACCUGGAUUAAUACUCUAGGAUAGUGGACGUUACUCGCAGAAUAAGCACCGGCUAACUCUGUGCCAGCCGCCGCGGUAA